UCCCCGUGCACGAGGAUAGGGUGACACUCGAAUAUCAGUCACCGCAGAGAACUCAACACACUAUCGUAUCGCAAUACGAACACCACCGCUUCGACAAGAAUUCUAAGGAAAUGACAGAACACUUGCUCUCACAACUUCACCAUCACAACCAUACACAUAUCACCCACAUAUACAAAGUCAACCAAAUUCAUUGACCAACAAUCAGUUAAAAAUACUCAAAUAAUUAAAUGAAUAAAUUUUUCACAAUAAAAUAAAUUUAAUUAUUUUCCUACUGGCGCACCCCCGUAAAAUUAUUAAUCUCACCCUUCCAUCCACUAGAACCAAUAUUUCUAGUGCACCCGCCUUUUACUAAAAUCACAACACAUAAUAAAACACACUUUUUAAUGUACCCCUUUUUAUCUUAAAUACACUCCCUCUCAUAAAUCUACUAACCCAAGUGGUCCCCACAACUAUUUUUAACUUUAAGAAUACCCUUUAUUUUUCUCUCACCAAGUGGACCUCACUUGAAAUAAACUUUUCUCACAAAACCUCUCUUUCUCUCUCCCUUUUUCCUACUUUUACGUAUCCUUCCUUUCUUCCUAUCUUUCUCUUUUAUUUAUUUAUUCAUUUAUAUUUUUGGAAAAUGAUAUUUUAACACUUUUUUUUAUACCAUUUUGACACUGCUCACGUGUCAAAAUGUGGUUGGACGAUUUCAAAUUAAAAAAACAAACUUUGGUUUUUCUCUUCCAAAUAUACCCCUACCUCAACUUUUUUAAUUUAAAAUCGUCCAAUCACAUUUUGACACGUGUGCAGUGUCAAAAUGGUGUCAAAAAAUGGUGUUAAAAUAUCAUUUUCCUAUAUUUCUUUUUCAAUUAAACCAAAACUCACCUCACUCCUCUAUUCUUACAAAACCAUGACUCCACUUCCCACUUUAUUUCACUUCACGUAGCACACUCCCAUGCACACACCUCUCGUACUCUUUUCUUUCCUUCUCUCUUUUCUACAAUAAAUGCCACGGCCUCACACCAUCUCACACACCAUUCUUUUAUUUUUUUCUUCUUCUAUUCACUCUCUCUCACUACACUUAGCGUUGCACCAGACUUCUAUCUCACACACUUUUUAAUUUUAUUUUGACUUUUCAAACACUCAUCUCUCGCCACCAUCCCUUCUUUUCACGUUAACCACACAUAUGUUCUUUUAUUUUUAUUUUUCCCUCUUCACUCUCUGCAUACACGUAACCAACAUACCCAC
rnacentral:lncRNA from 1 species